rnacentral:rRNA from 1 species
AGCGAUCUGGAAUGUAAAACCAAGUAUAACAAAGGGGCUACUAGGGAUGACUAGGCAAUGGAUCGGAAUGAGGUCUAAUCCAAACUGUCGAAUCCGAUCAAGGGUAUGUUAAUCAACCCGGUCUCGACGAUCAAGGCCAAAAGGUGCCUCACUUACCUUGGGAACUGAAACAUCUUAUGUACCAAGAGGAAAGGAAAUCAACCGAGACUCUACAAGUAGUGGCGAGCGAACGUAGACAAGCUAUCUCUAUCAACUUAGACAACCUCUGUUUACGUUUAUGCGUAGCAGCAGGAAAAUGGUAGCCUUCGGACAAAGACAUAAACAAUAGCUUGGAAUAGCUAGCCACAGAUGGUGAUAGCCCAGUGAUGAUAUGACUUUGCUCCCUUUUGGCAGUGAAUUUAAUUCCUUAGAGAGAAUUGGCGGCUUGUCAAGCUGCUUUUAUAAUACCCUGUCUAUUAAGGCAGGAAAGGUGUACCAUCAUCAAAGCUAAGUAUGUUCCAUUGACCGAUAGUGCAGAGUACCGUGAGGGAAUGUUGAAAAAGCAGGUAGUAAACUGGUGAAAAGCCUGAACUAGUGGCUCCAUAAGCAGCUGGAAUCACAACAGCCAUUGACUCCAACUCAAUGUGUGAUGACAGCGUACCUUUUGUAUAAUGGGUGAAUUGCUUGCCCAUGAGGAUUGUGAAAUCCUUUAUCAAACUGACUCAUGACCAGGAAUGGUCGGUAUUAUGAUAAACAGAUAUGAAAAUUUCUGAAUAAUUGCAGCAAGAUGAUGGUGGGUGCAUGGUAAUACACCCUAGCAAAAGCGACCUUAAUUAGCCGGUGAUAGUACCAACCAUCAGACCCGAACCCAGGUGAUCUUGCCAUGGCCAAGUGCUAUUUAAUAAGACUGAACGGGUGUCUAGGACGCCCAAUUUAGGGGUGACCCUUUAUUACUCCAAUACAAAAGUAUUGGGCAAUAGGUCCGUUGCAAGGGACUCCGAAGAGCUGUGGCAAGGGGUGAAAAGCCAAUCUAACCUGGAGAUAGCUGGUCUUCUGCGAAACCCGUUUUAGCGGGUCGCCCAUUUAUUGAAAUUAAAUUCGUUACUAGACGGUACGGCACUGGAAGCCACGCAGCUUUUGCUGCAUAAUCGGGGGGCUGUCAUGGCUCUAUCGAUGGCUUCUAACCCCGGAAAUGUAUAGUAUACAAUGAUGGGCAAUCAGACGUAUCGUGAUAAGGCGAUUCGUCAAAAGGGCAACAGCCCAGAACAGGUGUGAAGGUCCCUAACAAGCUACUGAGUGAACACAAGGCAGUCCUCUCCAGUGUCUCUCCACAAAGUGGGCUUGGUUUCCAGGCCUAUCCUUUCAUAUUUCAUAAGGAUAAAAACAUGGUUGAAAAAUCAUGAUAUAAUAUUGUGGAAGCAGCCACCUUUUAGCGAUAGCGUAACAGCUCAGUGGUCUGAGCCUCCCUGUAAAAAGGGAAUAUUGCCUGGUGAGGGCGCCAAAAAUGUAACGGGUCUAUAGUAGUUGUCUCUCUGUUCCAGCUUUGGAUAUGGAGGGAGUGGCAGUUUCUUCACUGUCUCACCGAAACCCUGUCCUAGAUGUAAAAUUCUAGGGGUAGCAGAAUACCCAGCAAAUGGAAUGAAGCUUGCUCAUUGAGCCGGUGGACAUAGCUGGGCUAAGAAUGCUGACAUGAGUAGCCUAAAAGGAGGGUAAUUCCCUCUUCGCCGAAAGCAGAAGGGUUUCAUUUGUAAGGUCUAUACCUAGAUGAUUAAAGCAGCGGCCUCUAAGGUUCAGAGUAACAAAUUAGUUCCGAUGAGUAACUCUUCUAUAGGGCAGUAACCUUCCUUAUAAGUUUACCUUCAAGUAAUUAGAGGUAUACUUCAAAGAGUAAGGUUCGGGAAAGAGCCCUACAGAAUAAAUCUUAAAACCGUACCCUAAACCGACACAGGUCUGCAAGUAGAGCAUACUAAGGCGUAGAGAUAAUCGUCUUGAAGGAACUCGGCAAAAUGACCCCGUAACUUCGGGAGAAGGGGUGCCACUAAUAAGUGGCGGCACUAAACAGGGGGGCGCGACUGUUUACUUAAAAGUACGACCUGAAAAGCUAUCAGAUACAAUAUGGUUAGAGCCCAUUAUGGAAGUAAAUCUCCAUAAGCUUACCUACGGUUGCAUAGUUGGUAACGAUUAUGUGAUAAGUUGUAGGGACAAUGUAAGACAUCUAUUUAAGCACAAAAUAGUACACUGCUAAGCUAGAUUACUAUGGAUAACGAAAGUGAACAUACAUUGAGGCGUCGUUAAAACAGAAUAUCGAAAGUGUUUGAUACGAUAUCAUGAGUAUUGGAUUAAUCUGCUUUUAAUAGAUUAAUUGAUUUACCAUUAUAUGCUCCGGCGUAGAGUAUGAUCCUAAGGUAAUCAUAAAGGUGUAUCUGAUGGAACAGGGUAAGCCCAAUGGUCUCCUCUUGGGAGAGGAGGGAUGGAAGUGAUUUCAUCUAUCGGCUAGGGGGUAAUGACAAUGCAAAAAGCAAAUGCCUCGUUGUAAUGACGAGGAUAGGAUUACUUAAUCUGCACUGAAAAGUGGCUGACUUGCACAUGGGUGUUGCUCUCAAAUCCAAAGCUUUUAAGGGUUUAAGAGUUAAGCCUAAGAACUAUUAAAACAUGAAGUGUCUUAGGUUACAACUGUAAAACUUAGAAGUUAAUAAACUAUUUUUAGUCAUGAUAAAACACUUUAAGGAUUCUAAAGAAAUAUUGCUUUAUUUGAAAUCUAACCCUAUCUGGAUCUCUGCAUUUGCAAAUGGUGAGGGGUGUUUCACUGCUUCUUUAAUGUGUUAUCUAAAAGGAAUGUGGGGAUUACAGCCUCAAUGUGAAUUCAAUAUAACUCAAAAGGCAGAAGACCUUCCUUUACUCGAGGCUAUUAAUGCCUACUUUGAUAACAAAGGUGGUGUCUAUGUUAAGCCUAACGAGAUGGCUGUAGUUACCUUUAAAAGCAUUCCUAUAUUGGAAGAGUUAAUCAUUCCCUUUUUCUUGGAGUAUCCUUUACUCUCUGCUAAAAGUUAUGAGUUUGAGAAAUGGUGUGACAUUGUUAAACUCUUACGUACGCAAAACCAUAUUGGGAAAACUCUUACUGCUAGAGAUGCCUUCUUAGAUAUUGCCUUAUUAUGCAGUGAUUUAAACUCUAAACGAAAUAAUCCUUCUAAAGUAAUUAGGGCGGAAAUAGUCAAAGAAUGGUUAGAAUCACUUGCAGGAGUUCCUUCUAUAGAGGCUAAGGCAGAGCUACAAGCUAGAAUCCAAAAAGCUAAAAAGCUUGAAAUUUAAGCCCUACCUCCGGAGCCUAACUUCUGGCAAAUGAGUCUUACCGUUUUGAGAGCAAUGCUUGAGCCGUAUGCGGUGAAAGUCGCACGUACGGUUCUGAGGAGGGGAAAGACUGAGAGGUCCUACCUAUUCCAAACACCGGACUCUGCUAACACUAGCGUGGAUGUAUAGAGUCUGAUACCUGCCCGAUGCUAGAUGAUCAACUAAGCCGUUUUAGGAUGGCAAAGGAAGCUCUAGUCAAUGGCGGCUGUAACCUUGACGGUCCUAAGGUAGCGAAAUUCUGCCCUGGCGUGAAUUCUACACGCUUCUAGUUGUUAGGCUGUUGUAUCAAUUUCCCUAUGAAACAAUUGGGUUCAAAUCAAGGGUUGUAUGAAUUACAAUAGAAAAUAUGAGACUCCUAACAAAUAGUAAGAUAUAGUCCAAACCCUUACUUACUAGGGUAGAGCGAAAUUCCUUGGCAUUUAAAUGAUGUCCCGCAUGAAAGGUUUAAUAGAGUUAAGCCGAAUGUGUGGGUGACCAUACAUAUUUUAUCAUCGGUGAAAGUCUAUGAAUGAAUAGUUAACGAAGCUCCCACUGUCUCCAAGACGAGCUCGGCGAAAUUGAAUUAUCCGUGAAGAUGCGGAUUACCUCCAGCUAGACGAGAAGACCCUUUGAAGCUUGACUGCAACUAGUUAGUGUGUAACCGCUACUAAGGUACAAAGGGAGUCGACUAGACGAGAUACCUUGAUCUUUGUAGUAGGUUUCACUAUAAAUGCUGGCUAGUAGGCAGUUUGUCUGGGGCGGCAAUCCUCACCUAAAGUAACUGAGGAGUCCGAAGGUGUGCUUUGCUAGGUUGGAAACCUCUCUAUGGCUAUGGUGAGCCUAAAUAAGCGCAAUGGUAUAAGCAUGCUUGACUGUGAGACCUACAAGUCUAUCAGGUAAAACCCUUUCUAUUUACCCCUUCAUAUAUCAGGUCUCUCACGGCUAAAGUUAACCUUACCUUCUUUCUUAUUUCAUCACUUGUUAGCCUUGGUUCACAGUGCAGCGCACUUGUGGAACAAGUUUGUUUUGUUUAAAGUAGUAAAGGAAUGGAAGAAGGGGUAAUUAGGUAUAAAGGGUAUAGGUAACUAGGGCAUAGUGACCCGGUGAUACAUCAUGGAAUGUUCAUCGAUCAACGGAUAAAAGCUACUCAAGGGAUAACAGGCUGAUCCUCCACGAGAGUCCAUAUUGACUGGGGGGGUUGGCACCUCGUAUUAACGCACAAUCACACCAAACUUAGAAGUAAGUUAAAAGUCAUUUUAAACAUGGUGUUAAGAUUGUUUUUGCAACAUCGGGGCACCAUAAGGAUAACCUUGUGGAAACCCUAAUGGGUGAUGAUAUAGUCUGAACUAACCGGAGACAGUUAGAAUAACACAAAGCGAUGUCGGCUCAUCCUAUCCUAGAGCAGUAUAAGGUUCUAAGGGUUCGGCUGUUCGCCGAGUAAAAGGGUACGUGAGCUGGGUUAAGUACGACGCGAGUCAGUACGGCUUCUAUCUACUGGAGGGAGUUGGAAGUAAGGAGGAAGCUAUUUUUAGUACGCGAGGACUUAAAUGGAGUGACCUCUGGUUUACCAGUUAUCAACAGCUAAUAAAGCUAUGGUAUGGCUGGAAAGCUACGUCACGAAUAGAUAACUGCUGAAACCAUAUCAAGCAGGAAACUACUCCUCUAUACUUCCUUUGAAACUUAGGGUAGACCACCCUAUUGAUAGGGCCUGGGUGUAAUAGCAGUAAUGCUUUUAGCCUCGGGUUACUAAUUGUUAAGCAACUUGGUUUUACCAGAUCGUU